CAUUAUGUGGUGGAUUUCAGUAAUGAAGAAGAGUCGUGGAUUCUGAGAAACAGGAUGCUGAAGGAUCGCGUUUGCCUAAGAGGAUGGUCAGGUCUUUGACUGUGUCCAGCUGCCGCUGCCGACGGUCUCCAUGGAGGAACGGCGAUCGCCACUUUGACACCACCCUCGUGGAAGCUGGACGGCGGCAGCAGGAGCCGCUCUUCUGGGAUUUGACAGAACCCGUCCCAGCGGCAGUGGAGAGUGCCCAAGGAGCCGGCAGCUCUCAUCUGUCUCCUGACCAUUUCUAUGGUAAUUCCCCUCAUCCUUCCUAGCAUACAAGCUUCUCAGUUCAUAGCCCUUCAGUUUGAAUCCAGGGCAUGAGAAUGAUUUUUGUCCUGGAAACGUCGCAGGGAAACGGCUCAGUUGCCAGCAUCUGGGGCUUCUGAAGUUAAUUAUCCCUGUUAGAAAACAGGCAUAAGACAAAAAAAAAAAAUGCGGCCUCCGCUUGUUUUGCCUGCAGCGGGUCGUUCUCAUCUUCAGGAAUAAUGAAUCGUCUUCUAAAGUGGAACGCUGGAAGUGUGAGUAUGGCGGGUUGCACUUCAGCACCUUUGAGGAGAAACAAAAAUGGGUGGCCUUCUCUAGCGGGGGACCCAGACGUCAUGUGAAAGUUAAAUUUUUCUCGUUACAGAAUAAUUAAAUUCCCUGUCAGUCGAAUGAAUAGAACACCUGUGGAAGGCCCCAGUCAGGUGGGGGCGGGGGGCGGGGUGUGCCCUCAUGUGACGUUCCCAUCAGACCUGCUUGUGUAAUGCUCAAAAGUGGUAGUAAUGCUGCAAUAUUAAAAACGGCUGGAAUGAAUGGAUCUGCAAUGUAAAUUUUGCUUCCCAGAACACUGGGUUAAAUUUUUCAUUCUCUCAGGUGUGUGUAUAAAGGGUACAUGUGGUUUCGGCGGCUGCGGCUCUGCUUCAAAUUAGCACACAGGUGGGAAAAGGCACAGCCGGGCUGCUGUCGGCACACAGGACGCCCCCACACGUCUCAGAUACUGCGCUUCAUACUUCCUGGUGUGGUAACAGCGCGGAUUGAAGCCAAAUGUUAUAUUUCACCCUGCAACAAAUACAAGUAUGAUACACACACACUGUAGGACUGCUUCAUUCAGCCACAUAACUGAGUGAAACCCUGAACCUCUGAAACAUGAUCCAGGAAAUCUUGGUGAUACAGUGCAAGUUUGACACGUCUAGUUACUGUAAAACCUAGUGUUUUACAUGAGUGCUGCAGCCUGGAAGUCAAAGGAGCUUUUCCCAACUGAUUUCCCCAACAAAUAUUCAAGAUCAUAAGCAAAUACUGCCGUAAGCAUAUAUAUAUAUAUAGUCUUUUUUACCUCUGAUUUUUAUGGUAUACAUCAGAUUCUCAUGUUAUGCACAGUCCCGUUUUGACUUCUCAAAGAUUUGAUUUCAUUUAUGCUUUAAAAAAAUGUCUGAGGACAAGCAAACGCAGCCUGUUUUUACCCCUCCAAUCGUUCGCAGUAAAGAGCACCCUUAAUGCAACGGAAGCUGCAUCAAUUACGCAAACUUGUUUACAGUGUUUACAGCCUGUUAACAGCUUGUGUCUGGUGUUCCCAAGGGUCGAGGAUCAAUGACAAAACGAUGCAUGUUGCACGUUUAUUGGCUCCACUCAAUAAUCAACACUGAUUAGAGUUUGUGAAGAUAUCUUCAUAUUUUCCCUCAUUUUAAAUUGGUUUCAGUUUUAAUAUAGCUCAGAAUCAAGAAAAAUAUUAAGAACAAAGGGUAUUUUUAACUUACUCUAGGUAAGUCUUGCUACACUUUCAAGUAGCCUACAGGUCCUCACCAGCACAUAAAUCAAAAGGGGGUCUGCAUCAUUAACCUUUUAUUCACUGAGAGGUAAAGGUAAAAGUCACCUGUUGCUACACACAGUUGAGGAGCCAGUAUCAAAGUAUCCUUUCACUCAUUAUGAGUAACUGCCUGUUCAGAGUCGUGGUGGUCCAGAGUCUAUCCUGGAAGCACAGGGCGCAAGGCACGGUAAAACCCGGGUGGGACAGUAGUCCAUCGCAGGCAUGUAGUACAUAGUGCAUUUGUGGAAACAGCCAUUAUGUUAAAUUUGUCAAAAGACUGUAGUCUUUGUUUUCCUUUUGCCUGGGCUGUCACGAAAUUACCAAGUUUUUGUGGGAAGUUUAAUAAGAUGGGUUUAGUAUUUUUUCUCACAUUUUGGAAAGCUUCUUGUGAAAAUGGGGAUUGUCUUAUUUCACACUGACAUAGAGCUGCGUCAUCUUUUGUAUGAGUUGUUUGACACUUUGGAGAAAAGUGUCGGUCAGAUGAAUAAAAGUAAUUGUUAAUGUGGGCUUUUGCUCA
ensembl:lncRNA